rnacentral:rRNA from 1 species
ACAAGCGGUGGAGCAUGUGGUUUAAUUCGAAGCAACGCGAAGAACCUUACCAGGUCUUGACAUCCCUUGACAACUCCAGAGAUGGAGCGUUCCCUUCGGGGACAAGGUGACAGGUGGUGCAUGGUUGUCGUCAGCUCGUGUCGUGAGAUGUUGGGUUAAGUCCCGCAACGAGCGCAACCCUUAUUACUAGUUGCCAGCAUUCAGUUGGGCACUCUAGUGAGACUGCCGGUGACAAACCGGAGGAAGGUGGGGAUGACGUCAAAUCCUCAUGUCCCUUAUGACCUGUCUUA